rnacentral:rRNA from 1 species
UACGUAGGGGGCGAGCGUUGUCCGGAGUUAUUGGGCGUAAAGCGCGCGCAGGCGGUUUAGCAAGUCUGGAGUGACAGUUCCCGGCUCACCUGGGAAAGGUCUUCGGAAACUGCUAGACUUGAGGGACUCAGAGGGAGACGGAAUUCCAGGUGGAGCGGUGAAAUGCGUAGAGAUCUGGAGGAACACCAAAGGCGAAGGCAGUCUCCUGGGAGUUACCUGACGCUCAGGCGCGAAAGCCAGGGGAGCCGGAACGGG